rfam:Chlamydomonas reinhardtii strain CC-503 cw92 mt+ CHLREscaffold_48 genomic scaffold, whole genome shotgun sequence.
GGGGUCGUAGCUCAAAUGGUAGAGCGCCCGCUUAGCAUCUGACGCUGAGCGCCUGCAACCUGCGGGAGGUAGGGGGAUCGAUGCCCUCCGACUCCA